GCCUAUAGCCAUACCAGCUCGACUGUAGCCAAUCUCUACUGAUCUCAGAAACUAAGCCAGGUCAGGCCUGGUUAGUUCUUGGAUAGGAGACUCCUGGGAUUGCUGAGUGCUGGAGGCG
rnacentral:rRNA from 1 species